AGCUUUGCGCAGUGGCAGUAUCGUAGCCAAUCAGGUUUAUACGAAGUGUGAUAAUUGCUGAUUGAAAACCUUUCCCAACACCUCACCAUGACGACUUGAAAUAUAGUUGGCAAUGGCAAUUAUUGAGUCUCUACGGAGA
ensembl:snRNA U4 U4 spliceosomal RNA